UACGGGGGGGGCAAGCGUUGUUCGGAAUUACUGGGCGUAAAGGGCGCGUAGGCGGUUUGCUAAGUUGGAUGUGAAAACUCUGGGCUUAACCCAGAGCCUGCAUCCAAAACUGGCUAACUUGAGUACUGGAGGGGAAAGCGGAAUUCCUGGUGUAGCGGUGAAAUGCGUAGAUAUCAGGAGGAACACCGGUGGCGAAGGCGGCUUUCUGGACAGUAACUGACGUGAGGCGCGAAAGCUAGGGGAGCAAACAGG
rnacentral:rRNA from 1 species